UACGGAGGAUCCGAGCGUUAUCCGGAUUUAUUGGGUUUAAAGGGUGCGCAGGCGGGAGAUUAAGUCGGCGGUGAAAUUUUGCAGCUCAACUGUAAAAGUGCCUUCGAAACUGGUUUCCUUGAGUGUAGAUGAAGUAGGCGGAAUUUGUGGUGUAGCGGUGAAACGCAUAGAUAUCACGAGGAACUCCGAUUGCGCAGGCAGCUUACUAAACUACUACUGACGCUCAGGCACGAAGGCGUGGGGAUCAAACAGGAUUAGAUACCCCCGUAGUCCCU
rnacentral:rRNA from 1 species